UACGUAGGGACCUAGCGUUGUUCGGAAUCACUGGGCGUAAAGGGUAUGUAGGCGGUUUAAUAAGUCAGAUGUGAAAUAGCAGGGCUCAACCUUGCUGCUGCGUCUGAUACUGUUAGACUUGAGUAGCUGAGAGGAAGGCGGAAUUCCUGGUGUAGGGGUGAAAUCUAUAGAUAUCAGGAAGAACAUCGGUAGCGAAGGCGGCUUUCUGGCAGUUUACUGACGCUGAGGUACGAAAGGUAGGGGAGCUAACAGG
rnacentral:rRNA from 1 species